rnacentral:lncRNA from 1 species
AAUGGUUGUUUUUAUGGCUUUUGGAGUGUUGCCAUUGAAUUUUCCCUUAAUUUAUUGUCAGAUGGCUUCUCAUGGAUUCAUCUCAGUGGUUUGCUGAACUCCCUCCAACAACCUGCUCUGGAGUCACCUGAGCUGCAGCCAGCAGAGGACUCUUGACCUAUGUCCAUGAGCUGUUGCGCUCAGCUCAGGGAAUUGUCCAUCCUGACGGUCAGAGCUCAUCCAGAUGAAAGGAGAACUAAGAUGCACGGGAGAUGAGCAGAUGAUAGUGCUUUGGCUUCCUGCCAGAGUCUUCUAAUGAAAAUGAACGCUUUCUGCAUCUGGGUCCACGGCAUUUGUUUGGAAGAGAGAAGUUUGGAAGGCUAGGAAUCAGCCACAUCUCCCUUCAUUUCCUCCAGUUCUUUCCCUUCAUGGCCACGUUAAUGAAGUCUCUCUACAGCUACCUCGUCAAACUAGUGCAUAAUGACUUCCUCUGCACAGGGAUGUGAGUGACUAAAAAGACUUAAAGUUGUCAUUCACAUUUUUCAGCAUGGUAAAACACAGUUUAGAACAUUCAAAUAAACAAAA